rnacentral:pre_miRNA from 1 species
UGGAGGAACAACCGCAGUGGCGGGGCCAGCUCUGCAGCCCUGGAUUCAGCUCCCGCAGUAACUACAGAGCUCUCUGUCUGCAGGGCUUGAAGGCUCCGGGGCGGG